UUAUGAGAGUUUGAUCCUGGCUCAGGACGAACGCUGGCGGCGUGCCUAAUACAUGCAAGUCGAACGCUUCUUUUUCCACCGGAGCUUGCUCCACCGGAAAAAGAAGAGUGGCGAACGGGUGAGUAACACGUGGGUAACCUACUCAUCAGAAGGGGAUAACACUUGGAAACAGGUGCUAAUACCGUAUAACAAUCAAAACCGCAUGGUUUUGAUUUGAAAGGCGCUUUCGGGUGUCGCUGAUGGAUGGACCCGCGGUGCAUUAGCUAGUUGGUGAGGUAACGGCUCACCAAGGCCACGAUGCAUAGCCGACCUGAGAGGGUGAUCGGCCACAUUGGGACUGAGACACGGCCCAAACUCCUACGGGAGGCAGCAGUAGGGAAUCUUCGGCAAUGGACGAAAGUCUGACCGAGCAACGCCGCGUGAGUGAAGAAGGUUUUCGGAUCGUAAAACUCUGUUGUUAGAGAAGAACAAGGAUGAGAGUAACUGUUCAUCCCUUGACGGUAUCUAACCAGAAAGCCACGGCUAACUACGUGCCAGCAGCCGCGGUAAUACGUAGGUGGCAAGCGUUGUCCGGAUUUAUUGGGCGUAAAGCGAGCGCAGGCGGUUUCUUAAGUCUGAUGUGAAAGUCCCCGGCUCAACCGGGGAGGGUCAUUGGAAACUGGGAGACUUGAGUGCAGAAGAGGAGAGUGGAAUUCCAUGUGUAGCGGUGAAAUGCGUAGAUAUAUGGAGGAACACCAGUGGCGAAGGCGGCU
rnacentral:rRNA from 1 species